rnacentral:rRNA from 1 species
CACGUAGGGCGCAAGCGUUGUCCGGAAUUAUUGGGCGUAAAGAGCUCGUAGGUGGUUUGUUACGUCCGCUGUGUAAUCCUAGGGCUUAACCCUGGGCUUGCAGUGGAUACGGGCAGACUAGAGGUAGGUAGGGGAGAAUGGAAUUCCUGGUGUAGCGGUGAAAUGCGCAGAUAUCAGGAGGAACACCGGUGGCGAAGGCGGUUCUCUGGGCCUUACCUGACACUGAGGAGCGAAAGCGUGGGGAGCGAACAGG